AUGGUAUUAUUGCGAUCGCUUGGGCAUCAGUGGGCAAGAAAAUUUCAUCUAGCUUUGUUUGUGUUCCAUGAUGCAUUUGGUCUGAGUAGCUCGGCCACUAGACUUGGGGGAUGUGGUACUUUGCUGACUAUCGAUCGCAUAUUAAAGUCUAUUGGGAUCCAGUUUUGCUGCCAUAUGUGUGUUGACAUCCCGUCACCAACUCGCCUAAUGAGCCCCCUUGUCAUGGUGUCGCGACCUGCAAGAAUUGAUUGCCAAAUGUGUGAUGGCGCAGCUCCAAGCUUAGCAUUCAUCAUACACACACUUUCUUUCCAAGACAAUCAUACGAAACUUUAUUGA
rnacentral:rRNA from 1 species